rnacentral:lncRNA from 1 species
UCUUCUAUGGGACACACCCAUGUGGUGCUGCAAUGACCAGCUCAGGAAAAGUCCUGCUUUGAAGGCCAAGCUUAUAUGAUUAAAAAAACGGAGAGAGUUAAAUUUCUUUUUGGUGCAUUUUGGCCACAAAACGUUGAUGUAAAUUUUUCCAAAGCCAAGACAACGAUUUCUUAUUGGUAAAAGCCAUCCGUGGGAGAUUCCUGCUUAAGAUAGUCUUGGGAUGAGGAGGUGAAAAGAAUGUUAGUGAGCCAGAGAGUUCUUGCUAAAUAGAGCUCUUUGCUUAUUAAAAAGACUUGAGGCUCUUGGGGAGCCCGUAACUUUAAAGCAGAUCAAGCAACCAGAACACUGGACAGAAUGUGGAAGGUAUGGAAGAACAAUGGACAUGAAACUCCAAAUGCAGCAUGGUGGAACGUGGACAAGGCCAAGCAGAAAAAUGAGAAUUGGCCUUAUAUUGUUUUCAAAAAUUAUCAACUUAAAUUAAAUUAUCAACAAAAGAGGAUGGCAAUUCACUUUAAACAGAGUCUGUGUCCUGGAAAUGAUUCACAGCAGGAUUCCUUUAAAUAGCAAGCAUCCUGGUGCUUAUGAUCCGGCAACAGACACGGGAUUCCACACUACUCUUCCUGAGUGGCCUUGAGCGACCUGUGAAGGAUGGGCCCCUGAAGGUGAAGAGGACAUCUCGCAUCUCUGCACCCCAAAGGAGUGGCGUCCUCUGCUAUGCCCAGGCUCAGCAGAGUGAGGAAUGGCUUCUUGGAAUUCAGUGAGGAUCGUUGGUGGUGAUUUUGCUGGCAGGAAUUCCUGGUCUCCAAAGCUCUGAAAACCACAGUUCUCAGAACGACUUAACAGGAAGCCUCACCCAGUAACAGAGGAAGCUGAGGAAGGAAGGGAAGAUGGCAGUGUUGGGGGAGGGUCACAGAUGAAACAAUAAGCGAAGUCACUGGCUUGGGACGACGUGGCCAGGGAAGCACCCCACCUAUGCCUUGCUGGCUGCUCCUGGGGCCUGCGCCAGGCACCCCACACUUUUGCUGCCUGGAUCAGCACUCUCUAGCCAGCUGACUCAGAAAAGUCCUCCCUGAGGACUUUGCACUCGGGGUUCCCUGUCUCUGGGACGCUUCCUUUCCAGGCUCCUCACCUCCAGUUCCUCUACCGAGCCACCACCAUCCUUCAAGACCUUCCAGGGCGAUGCUCACCUUGGUUUUAAGGAAGCAAUUGUUACCAUCUUCUCUCUCUUGCUGCCUGCAGAGUGGUUUGGGCUUUCCUCAUAAUAGUCACCCUAUUGCCUUGUUUGGAAGAAUUUAAU